UACAUGGGGUGCAAACGUUGCUCGGAAUUACUGGGCGUAAAGCGUGCGCAGGCGGUUUUGUAAGUUUGUCGUGAAAGCCCCGGGCUCAACCUGGGAAUUGCGAUGAAGACUGCAAGGCUUGAAUCUGGCAGAGGGGGGUAGAAUUCCACGUGUAGCAGUGAAAUGCGUAGAGAUGUGGAGGAACACCGAUGGCGAAGGCAGCCCCCUGGGUCAAGAUUGACGCUCAUGCACGAAAGCGUGGGGAGCAAACAGG
rnacentral:rRNA from 1 species